AUGGCUGAGGGCAUGGCAAUGGCCCGCGCUGGAUCAUUGGUUUCAAAGCUUGAGUCCAAGAUAUGCUAUCAUAGGGAUGCUGCCCUCGAGUACAUGGAAAUCAAGGCUGUUGUUGGUGAAGUCAUGGAAGAAAAGGAGAUGCUCCAGCAGGAUUAUCGUGCACUGAAAGAUGAACUUGAGGAGGCAAAGAAAACGAUUGUGGAAGUAAACAAGGAGCUUGCAGCAGGAAGCGCGGAGACCUCUCUCAGUAAAAAGGAGCUGGAGCUUGUAAAGAAGAAGCUUCAAGACUGGGAAGCUAAGCAAAAUCUACCUGAGCUACUGAAUUGCUCUGCUUCUGAGCAUGUCCAGCCUAGUAAUAGUAAGCAGGGGCAGAAAAGAUCAAUGAGGCACCAGGAAGUGCCUUCUCAAGGUCCUCUGGGAAUUGAUGCUCACAAGCCUGACCUGGCAGAAGAGCGUCCUGGGAGCAUGCUGGUAAACAACCCCAUUGUUGGCCAAACCUCAGUUGUUCCACCAAGCACAGAUGAUGACGUGGUGGCCCUGCGUGAACAUCUGAUCAAGCAAUUCCUUGAAAUUGAUAAAUACGGCGGGCGGAUCAUCGGGAUAAAGGAAAUGGGCAAACUGAAUGUGAAGGCGUUCGAGAUUGCUUGCGCUGAGAAGUUCCGUACAACAAAAGCCGCUGAUGCGUCUAGUAAGCUGUACUCACUGUGGCAGCAGCGGAUCACUGACGUAAGCUGGAAUCCCUUCAACAUGGUCACGGUCGAGGGCAAUCAUCAGGAGGUUCUGAAUGUCAAUGAUGAUAAGCUGCAAGAACUGAAGAAGGAAUGGGGAGAAGGCCCCUACAAAGCUGUCAUCAAUGCGCUGAUGGAGAUGAAAGAGUACAACUGCCUAGGCGACAGGAGCACCGUCUAUGAGCUAUGGAACUACCGGGCGGACCGGAAAGCCACCCUAACGGAGUGUACUGAGUACAUGGCCGAUCGUGUGCAAGAACUCACAGUGGUCAAGCGCAGGAAGACUCGCAGGAAUUAG
rnacentral:rRNA from 1 species